UGCAUUUAUAGUAGUCAUUAAGCAGGGCUUUCUGGUUUCAAGUCUCCUGAAGGUCCUAUCUUAGUGCUUGCUUUAAGUUAAGGUAAGGAGGCAGAGAGAGUCUUCUGACACGCAGUUGUUUUCUUUCUCUCUACUUUGCUCGUCCAGACGAAGAAACUGUGUCCAAGAGUGGAACAGCUUUCACCGGAGUGGCAAAGGCCUUAGUAGGGAACAUAUUCAGACUGAAGGGACUGUGCAGGGGAGAGACAUAAACUGAGGUUAAAUUCCACCACGCACAAAAUUCCUCCUACGCCAUUCAGCUUCUUCCUUCAACGCAAGGCAGUUUGGGUCUAUUUACAUAAAAGAUAAAUGAAAUAAACUAAGAAAAACUGCAAAAAGAUGAGGAAAACAAAGCAUUUGCUAAGAAUGAAAUAUUCAAUGAGGUAAAGUGAUUACAAGAACACUUUGUAUUUUAAAAGGCUUACUACUUUAAUACUAGUGAUCAAAAAUUAUUUGGAAAUUGGUAGGUAGCACUAAACUUGCUUCUAAGCUUUUGUGCAAUACUAUUGAGCAUUACUCCAAAACGUUAAAUGAUAUUUGUAAUGCAGUUAAAGAUUAUUAGAGUAUACUUUAAGAAAUAUAUACUUUUUAAUUUAAUUCAAUACAUAUCAAAUGAAUGCUAAUACUUCUACUGCAGUAGAAUUAGCCACCAUUUAAACAGAUUCCUUAAGAAUGUCUGAAUUUUAAAAAUACCAUACAAAUCCUCUCCAUUUAGAGGGACACAAAACACUUUUCGCUUUGAAAUCUGAUCUUCAGACCCAAAAAGCUCUUGUGCAGAAAAGCCUUGCAGUCAUAACAUAAUAAACAGUGAGCAACUUUCAAGAAAAAUAAACAAUGCAAGUUCCUCCCACAUCGAAUUAGAUAAUGACACAUCAAAGGAGCAUGCUUGGGGCAUGUAAUCAGACUGCCUUGAUAACAGACGUGAACCAGGAGAAGAUAAAGAGAGAUCAAGAAAACCUGCCCAACAGUUAUUUUUGAGCACCAAAGAACAGUUAGAAAGAAGAAACACAAAUCAGUCUAAACAUUAACAAUUUUCUCUGCACAAUUCUUCUAAUCAAAUACCUUAGAAAAACAAGGUUACUUGAUUUGCUCCCAAACACCCUUUUUUCCUCUUCCAAUAAUUAUUUUUCAAAUUGAUCUGCAGCAUUUUAUGAAUAGGUCAUCAAUCCUGAGAUUGGUCCAUUUUGUUGAUAGUUUAGCUAUCAGUAAAAAAGAAUCUGUGCACUUCGCAAAUAAUUUACAGAAGGAUUCAAACUAUCUCUGAUCAGCUUCAAAAUCCUAGUGCAUUUUACAGCCUAUCAACAGCCAUUUACUACAUAAGUAUCUAUCAACACCGCAAAUCAAAAAUUAUGGUCCCUGCCCUCAAAGAGCAAAUGACUGUACUUCACACAGAUAUAAAAUGAAAAGACAAAGGUGCCAACAUUAAAUAAUAAUAUACAUGGAGUAAGAGUAACAUUGUGCAUAAGCAAAGGAUUAGGCUAGGUGUGGGCAGAGAGGGUUGUUGGGGGAGGCAUGUUCUCAAGUUUCAGGGAAGAGGUUAAACGUCAAGAGCAGCUGAGAAGAAAGAAAAAGGCUAAGUUGACUUUCUCACUACAGAUGUAUGGAGUUUAUGCCAAGGCUUCACAACAGGAGAAGUGAUCAAGACUUAGGAAACCAUAAUGCAAACAUACCUGAAUGUACAGAGAGAAUAAAAUAAGUUAGAUUUUGAGAAAGUCCAGGGAAAGUGGUCCAAUGCCUUGAAGCCUUUUACUCGUGGGACAUCGGCUGCCAUCCUAGCAAUCAGAACUUAAAAGUGGACCAUCAUUUUUCUAGGUGCUUUUUCCCAGUUUGUUCUGAAAUCGGGCCAGCAGGCAGAGAAAGCCGAGCAGGAGGUCCCGCCAGCGGCAAGAAGGCCAUACAUGCAUUUUAUAAAUUGGCCAAUACUUUCUUGGGAAUAUUUAACUUUUGCUUUUGUUCUAAUUAGAAAAAGUUAUUCAAAGUCUAUCACUAAGAGAAAUGAUAAAGCUCCUCUGAUUGCUUGUAAAUUUUGAACAAAGUUGUUUUUGCAAGCACUUCUAAAGUUCCACCAAUUCUCCACAAACAGAAAGCGAACGAACAGAUACUGGACAAGUGACCUAUGUUAAACCAACUUUCUUCCAGGGAAAACUAUUUUAUAUGUGUAUCAACACAUAGGGAGUAGAUAUGUGUGUAUGUAUAUUUAUUUGUUUUAUGGAAUCAUGACACCCACUGAACUGGAAAAACAGAAAUAGUCUAGAAUACUAAGGAUUUCAAUCAUUCAUGUGAAGUAUCUAUUUAUUAGUCUCUGGCAGAAGCCUUUCCUACCCACAGCAGAGGUCAGAAACUCUGGCUGGUGUUUAAUCCACCCUUCAGAGUCAGACGACCACAAUCUCCAUGGCUUCCUUUGCCACCCACCCAAUUUGCUCUCUUCUGCUGCCUUACUGGCUCUGCAAGGCUUUGUAAACAAAUGAAGACAUAAUAUGGCCAAAGACUGAAUCUUCUGUCAUGCUAGUUAAUUCAUUCAACACAAUUACUGAACAUCAAUAGCAUAUAUUAAGCACAAGUGGGAUAAAAAUAGAUACCAAAGUUCACAAAACCAAAUGUGUUGUGUGAUUUCUUUAUAUGGUGUAAAAAAAGUUAAAGGAAAUGAAAGAUAAGUGGAAAGGGCUUAGCGACUUAUUCUGACAUCAGUAUUCUGUAACAAAUUAACUUCCUUUUAUUGUCAAUCUAAAACUAAAAUCUUAAAGGGAGUGGAUUUGCAGAAGAGAGAGAAUUGUUGAAGUCUACUGGACCUAUUCACUCUUUAAAAAACUGUAACUAAUAUUUCAAGGUCUUCUCACUGGGCAAGCAAUAGUGGCAGCAACAUUUAGAUUUCAAGCACCACAGCCUUAUAUGACAGAGUUGUAUUAAGGGUAUCUGGUUCAUUUAUUUUCCAAAUGAACAUCUAUCCUAAAGUUACUGAUAUCCCAGAAAACACAAUAACACAGCUAUUAGAACUUCUAAUUUUCAGAGUAAAAUGCAAAUGUAUUUUGCACUCCAUAAACAAUAUCAUUAGUGACACUUAUUAUUCAAAAAAUAUUAAUUGAGGUAUAACUAUGUGAGAUUCUUGAUAAAUUAGGCAUAUAACUUAACAAAUCAAUUAUUCUGUUGAAAGAGACCUAUUGUGUACUUUCUACACACCAGGCACAUUUCUAAACAUAUGUAUUAACUCAUUAAAGGCUUUCAACAAUUCAUUUUACAAAUGGGGAAUUUGAGGCACAAAGCAAUAAAGUAACUUGCUCAAGAUCAUGUAAUUAGGAAGGAAUUUGAACUCCAGGGGUCUGGCUGUAAAGCCCAAACUCAGCUACCAAAAUAUAAUGCCACGAGACACCUCUAUCAUUUGCCCUGUGAUCACCACACAUUCAGUUGAAUAUCUUCAUCACCUGACACAGACAAAUAAUGAGCAGGGUAUGACCCUGAGUGAGCAACAAAAUAUUAAAAUACAAAAAGGAAUGUAAUAUUUAUUACUGUAAAGAAGAUAUACAUCUUUUAAAUGAUUUUCAAUAGAACUGAAUUCAGAAGAAUUUUUAGGAAUACUCUAUAAGACAAUUUUCUUUAUAAGAACAUGCAUGUUUAAAUAUUCUGAUUAGAGUUCCCUGGUAGCCUAGUGGAUUAAGGACCUGGCAUUGUCACCGCUGUGGCUUGGGUUAGAGCUGUGGCAUAGGUUUGAUCCCUGUCAUAGCUGCGACCUAAGCCACAGCUGCAGCAAUGCUGGAUCCUUAUAACUCACUGUGCCGAGCCAGGGACUGAACCUGCAUCCCAGUGCUCCCAAGAUGCUGCUGAUCCCGUUGUACCACAGCAGAAAGUCCUAGCCGAGAGAUUUUAAUUUCUCGAAUAGAAUAUUCAAGUUCAUGUGGUCGUUAAGUUUAACAGAGUUAUGGUGAGUUAAGACCAGAUCAAGUUUAUCAUGAUUAAUGGUAUUUUUACAGUGUGAAUACCACAAACUUGUAAUAUGGUAAUAUUCAGCCUGCAAAAGAAGGAUAAAAUUACCUUAUACUUGCAGCCCCUCAAAUUUUUAUGUCAAAAUAUAAGCUCCCAUCAAGAAUCCUUGCUCUGAAAGCAGUUGGAUUUGACAUAAAACAAAGUGUUAGGUAAGGAGAGCAAGACAAUUUGUUCUGUUCUGGAAAUUUGCUACUAAUCUGUUUUGGCAGCUGUGGGUAGUGACUUUAAAAUUUUAGCUAUUCUGGGGGUGUUUCUUUUUUAAACAGCCCAGUUACCUAAUCAGGGGUAGAAAAAAAUGUCUAAUAAUUAUAAACACUAUACGAAUAGUUAAUAAAUAAAACUAUAAAUUGUCUAGCAAAAACAGUAAAUUGUAAAGAAUAAUAAAAGUUAAGGUCUCUGCCAGCAAAUGAAAGAAAUAAUGUCUCAAUGUUCAAACGACUUGGACCAAAGAACCCUAUGAUCUGGACCGUUAGUUUCCUAGCAGGUCAAAAUCCUGACUCAAAAUCACCAUGUGCUUUUGCCACACUGACUUUUUCCUUCCUGGAUGUCCCCAUUUUUCUAAGACCCUUAGAAAAGAAAAAAAAAAAAAAAUAGUCUACUAGUUAUAACUACAGAGGCAAAAAGCACCUUAAAAAGUGAUGUGUUGCAUACUGCUGUACACCUGAAACCAACACAAUGCU
rnacentral:lncRNA from 1 species